UUAAUGAUUGAUAGUGAAUUCUACUAUUUUUUGCUGCAAGAUCUAUUGCAAUCGGCUUUGGUGUUUGGCGCUUUCUUGGGAGGGAAGAAGCUCUCUUCCUUCUUUGCCGCCUCUGUCACCAGCCACAUAGACCAUAGGAUUCUCAUUCCAUUUCAUGUCUCCUAAGUUAGAUAGCCCAGUUCAGACCCAGAUGGCAGUGGC
rnacentral:misc_RNA from 1 species